GUGCUCACUUUGGCAGCAUAUAUACUAAAAUUGGACAAUACAGAGAAUUAGCAUUGUGUCUGAGCAAGCAUGACACACAAUUUCAUGAAGCAUUUCAUAUUUUU
rnacentral:snRNA from 1 species